CAACAGGCUUCCUACACAGAGGGCAGAGACCAAAGAAAGAGCAUGCCAGCCACCCACUUAUCUUGGCCACCACACGCAACUCCCCACACCCAAACUUUUCGGAGCUAUACAUACCCACUCUAUCCCCACUGGCAGGCUCCUGCCUGCUUGAACCCAACAGUCCAGUGCAGUCACUAGAACUACGCAGCAGCCACUCCAUGCCGGGUUCUCGCCCCACGAAGGCUAGUAGUUCCCAGAAUGGCGAAGGGCUGAGAGCAGCCAGCUCGACUCCGCUCUUGCAGCGCCACAUCACCAACAGAACAACGCCCCCAAACGCUACGAGCACAAAACACCACCACCACGAGGUCCCCGUACCACCUAUUUGUACCCUGGCCCAUACUUCUGGCCAAUGAGAAGGACCCUCUCUCAGCCGUGCCGCUCUCUCAGCCAAUCGCGAAGCCCGUGUCAGGGGCCGGGCAGAACGCAGGGGCUGGCUCGGCGCGGAGGCCGGGCGGUUCACACCUCGGGCCGCCUCCUCCCGCUGGGUGGGUCUCGUACCCCAGGAAGCGCCCAGGAGGUGUUAUCUGCUAUUUACUACCUUAUUAGACUGUAGUUAGUGGCUAAUGAACGCCCUUCUGACUGCAGGAGUCGCCUCACGGCUCCUUCGCACCUUGCGCCCCGCCCACUCCGGCUGGGCAGCCAAUGGCAGCACUGUGCGCUCCCCGCUCAGCUGAGAGUACCCAAUCGGCGGGCGCCGCGGGCCGCUCUGCGGCUAUAAAAGAGCCCGCUCAGGCUGGCGGCCCAGACUUCGUUCUGCUGUGGUUGAGCCGUAGCGCUCUUGAUGUCAUGCAGUGGUCGUGCUGCGAGUGGGCCUAUGGCUGCUUCGCCCUUCUGGGAGAUGCUGGUGCUAUUGGCUCAGGAGCCGGGUGUGGAGUGGCUGAAGUUGGUCCUCGCUGGGCAGGCUGCUGUUUCGCUGCCGUGCGGUCAAGGAACAGGGUGGACAACGGCGCGUAGGACCCGGCCGGCGGCGGGGCGAUCCAGGGGCUCCGGGCGGUGCGGGGAGCGCGGUGCGGCGGUGGGAGGGGAAGCUGGUCCUCCUUGGAAACGCUCGCUGGGGCCUCAGCCUCUGAAGACAUUGUCAUUGUUGGAGUCAUCAGGGGAUAUUAGGCUUUGGCAAGCCUACUUUGAGGGGCUGAAGAAAUUCCUCGCCUUUAGGAAAGACAUGGGAAUGCCUGCAGCCUGGCCCAUUCCAGAGGAUCAAGUUAGAGGGUUUUUAGCUGUGGAGUCUCUUUACUCAUCCUCAAAGACACUGAUGUAUGUGGCAGCGCUAUCUUACUUAUCAAGACUGUCUGGUAACCAUGACCCUCUGGAAGAUGCUAUAACCCGUUGUAUAGUAAUGGGGCUGAGACGUCAAGUGGGCAUCCUGAGGGAAAAAUAUGCUCCUAUAACAAUUGAGAUGCUACGAUCUCUCUUAGGAGCUCUGGAGUGUGUGUGUGUAUCCCAUUAUGAGUGCUUACUGUUCCGUGCAUUGUUCACUGUGGCUUUUUUUGGGGCACUUCGAAUAGGAGAGAUGGUGGCAAAGCACCGUAAUGUACUGCAGCCUGAACUGCUACACCUGAGGGACAUGCAGGUGACAGAAAACAGAGUGGUGUUUCACCUGCAUAACUGUCCCAUUGAGUGGGAGAGACCCAUCAUCAGCCUUGCUCUGUCUGGAGAGCCAUGGGUGUGCCCUGUCUUGGCCCUCCAGAGCUAUGUGGCUGUGCAUUCUGGACUUGAAGGGCCACUCUUUGUGCACGGGGACAACAGGCCUGUAACAAAGAGGGAAUUUCUGACUGUUCUCAGAUGGGCCCUUAGGCUGCUGGGGCUACCCCCAGAGCAGUACGGCGUGCACUCCUUCUGGCUGGGGACUAUCAUCACUGCUGCACGCUGCGGAUAUCCCAGGGAAGAUGUCACUCGCCUGGCAAGGUGGCCAUGUGUGUUCCCAGGGAAGUCAUAGCCAUGGAGACAGUGCGCAAAAGAAGCUAGUGGUUUCUUUCUGUAGGAGUUUUAACAACAUAGUUUGUAGUCCUUGGCAGUAAUUUAAUGUUACCAUCUGUAAUGAAUGUUCUACCUCACUGUGGAUAUGGUCUAUGAAGUUCUCUUGCAUUUGUUUUCACCGUCUGUACUGUUGAGGGUGGGGGAUUGUCAAACUUGCUGUGCCCGCAAAUGCUUUUAUCUUGUGUAACUUCAGUUAAUAAAUACUUCCUUUUAAAAAAGCA
ensembl:lncRNA